rnacentral:rRNA from 1 species
AGAGUUUGAUCCUGGCUCAGAUUGAACGCUGGCGGUAUGCUUAACACAUGCAAGUCGAACGGAAACGAUACUAGCUUGCUAGUAGGCGUCGAGUGGCGGACGGGUGAGUAACGCGUAGGAAUCUACCUGAUAGUGGGGGAUAGCCCGAAGAAAUUCGGAUUAAUACCGCAUAAUCUAUUCGUAGUAAAGUGGGGGACUUUCGAGCCUCACGCUAUCAGAUGAGCCUGCGUAAGAUUAGCUAGUUGGUAGGGUAAAAGCCUACCAAGGCAACGAUCUUUAGCUGGUCUGAGAGGAUGAUCAGCCACAUCGGGACUGAGACACGGCCCGAACUCCUACGGGAGGCAGCAGUGGGGAAUAUUGGACAAUGGGGGCAACCCUGAUCCAGCAAUACCGCGUGUGUGAAGAAGGCCUGAGGGUUGUAAAGCACUUUCAAUUGUGAAGAAAAGUUAACGGUUAAUAACCGUUAGCCUUGACGUUAACUUUAGAAGAAGCACCGGCUAACUCCGUGCCAGCAGCCGCGGUAAUACGGAGGGUGCAAGCGUUAAUCGGAAUUACUGGGCGUAAAGCGUGCGUAGGCGGUUUAUUAAGUCAGAUGUGAAAGCCCCGGGCUUAACCUGGGAACUGCAUUUGAAACUGGUCAACUAGAGUAUGGUAGAGGAAAGUGGAAUUUCUGGUGUAGCGGUGAAAUGCGUAGAUAUCAGAAGGAACAUCAAUGGCGAAGGCAGCUUUCUGGACCAAUACUGACGCUGAGGUACGAAAGCGUGGGUAGCAAACAGGAUUAGAUACCCUGGUAGUCCACGCCGUAAACGAUGAUAACUAGCCGUUGGGGGGAUUACCCUUUAGUGGCGAAGCUAACGCGUUAAGUUAUCCGCCUGGGGAGUACGGCCGCAAGGCUAAAACUCAAAGGAAUUGACGGGGACCCGCACAAGCGGUGGAGCAUGUGGUUUAAUUCGAUGCAACGCGAAGAACCUUACCUGGUCUUGACAUCCUGCGAACUUUCUAGAAAUAGAUUGGUGCCUUCGGGAACGCAGUGACAGGUGCUGCAUGGCUGUCGUCAGCUCGUGUCGUGAGAUGUUGGGUUAAGUCCCGUAACGAGCGCAACCCCUAUCCUUAUUUGCCAGCACGUCAUGGUGGGAACUAUAAGGAGACUGCCGGUGAUAAACCGGAGGAAGGCGGGGACGACGUCAAGUCAUCAUGGCCCUUACGACCAGGGCUACACACGUGCUACAAUGGGAAGGACAAAGAGCCGCGAAGCCGCGAGGUGUAGCUAAUCUCAGAAACCUUUUCGUAGUCCGGAUUGGAGUCUGCAACUCGACUCCAUGAAGUCGGAAUCGCUAGUAAUCGUAGAUCAGAAUGCUACGGUGAAUACGUUCCCGGGUCUUGUACACACCGCCCGUCAUACCAUGGGAGUGGGUUGCACCAGAAGUGGCUAGUCUAACUUAGUGAGGACGGUCACCACGGUGUGAUUCAUGACUGGGGUAAAGUCGUAACAAGGUAACC